UUAGAGCCGGUGUAGCUUUAUUUGACGUUCAUAAGCGCAUUGUAAUAUGCCGACUUGAAAUAUAAAAAGCGCAUUAUAUAAAGCCCGACCACAAAUAUAUAAUCAUUAUCAAGAGGGCGCUGUUAUUCUCAUGUAUGCGGUGACAGUUUAGUUGAGUAUGAAAAAUUUAGUUCCAAUGAAAUUCCGCAAUAUGGCGCGUAAUCAUAUAUUACUGGUCAGGUUUUAAAUA